rnacentral:rRNA from 1 species
ACGGGUGAGUACACGUGGGUGAUCUGCCCUGCACUUCCGGAUAAGCCUGGCAAACUGGAUCUAGUACCGGAAAUCACCUUGCGAUGCCUGUCCUUUGGUGGAAAGCUUUUGCGGUGUGGGAUGGGCCCGCGGCCUAUCACCUUGUUGGUGGGGUUAACGCCUACCAUGGCGACCACGGGUAGCCGGCCUGAUAGGGUGACCGGCCACACUGGGACUGACAUACGGCCCGCACUCCUACGGGAGGCAGCAGUGGGGAAUAUUGCACAAUGGGCGCAAGCCUGGUGCACCGACUUCACGUGAGGGACGACGGCCUUCGGGUUGUAAACCUCUUUCAGCACAGACGAAGCGCGAGUGACGGUAUGUGCAGAAGAAGGACCGGCCAACUACGUGCCAGCAGCCGCGGUAAUACGUAGGGUCCGAGCGUUGUCCGGAAUUACUGGGCGUAAAGAGCUCGUAGGUGGUUUGUCGCGUUGUUCGUGAAAACUCACAGCUCAACUGUGGGCGUGCGGGCGAUACGGGCAGACUAGAGUACUGCAGGGGAGACUGGAAUUCCUGGUGUAGCGGUGGAAUGCGCAGA